rnacentral:rRNA from 1 species
UGCGGAAGAGAUAACCGCUGAAAGCAUCUAAGCGGGAAACUCGUCUCAAGAUGAGUCUUGCCGGGGCCUUGAGCCCCCUGAAGAGUCGUUCGAGACCAGGACGUUGAUAGGCCGGGUGUGGAAGCGCGGUAACGCGUUAAGCUGACCGGUACUAAUUGCUCGUGAGGCUUGACCCU